GACGAACGCUGGCGGCGUGCUUAACACAUGCAAGUCGAACGGAAAGGCCCCAGCUUGCUGGGGUACUCGAGUGGCGAACGGGUGAGUAACACGUGGGUGAUCUGCCCUGCACUUUGGGAUAAGCUUGGGAAACUGGGUCUAAUACCGAAUAUGACCACUUCUUGGAUGUUGUGGUGGAAAGCUUUUGCGGUGUGGGAUGAGCCUGCGGCCUAUCAGCUUGUUGGUGGGGUAAUGGCCUACCAAGGCGGCGACGGGUAUCCGGCCUGAGAGGGUGUACGGACACAUUGGGACUGAGAUACGGCCCAGACUCCUACGGGAGGCAGCAGUGGGGAAUGUUGCACGAUGGGCGCAAGCCUGAUGCAGCGACGCCGCGUGGGGGAUGAAGGCCUUCGGGUUGUAAACUCCUUUCGCUAUCGACGAAGCCACUUGUGGUGACGGUAGGUAGAUAAGAAGCACCGGCUAACUACGUGCCAGCAGCCGCAGUAA
rnacentral:rRNA from 1 species